CUUUCAGAUACACUGUGUUUUAAAAAGGAAUCCACUGAGAGAGAAUCCAAUUCUCUCCUAGAUAUGCCACAAACUCCACUAGAUAAGUAUUUGCCUCCUCAAUCUGAUCGAAGAGUUCUAACACCUUAUCUAGUUUGUUUCAAUCUUUCAUUAUUGAAUCAUUUGAACAUUUCAAAUGAUUCAGGCCAGACGCACCCAUGCCC
rnacentral:lncRNA from 1 species